AGAAUCGCUUAUUAUUUCUAUUUCACAUCAACUGUUUGUAUAUUUGUGGUCUUGAAGUCUUAUAUGCAGGUGUAUACACUAAACCUAAAUCUAAAGAAGCCAAGUCACACUACCAGCUCUAAUAGUUGUUUCUAUUAUCUUAAAGGGUUUGUUCAUCUUCAAUCGAUUCUCUUUUCUGAUUCUGAUAGGCAAAUGGUGACAUCACCAAGGUACGAUUUGUUUGAUGGCAUGAUAUAAUUGAAGCCGAACAUAUUUCGUUAGGUGAUGAUUGUUUUUUCAAUUGGUCAAAGACGAAUUUGAGAUUAUUGGUUACGAAGCUCCAACAAGUAGAAGUACUAGAGUAAUAGGCUUUCAAUUUAAAUUUCAAACCAGAAAAACGUAUUUCUUUCAUUUAUUUAUCUUUUCGGUUUUGUUACAUCUAUAGUACGAUGCUUCG